AUUGAACGCUGGCGGCAGGCCUAACACAUGCAAGUCGAACGAGUGGCGGACGGGUGAGUAAUGUCUGGGAAACUGCCUGCUGGAGGGGGAUAACUACCGGAAACGGUAGCUAAUACCGCAUACCAUCGGAUGUGCCCAGAUGGGUUUUGCUAGUAGGUGGGGUAACGGCUCACCUAGGGGACGAUCCCUAGCUGGUCUGAGAGGAUGACCAGGCACACUGGAACGGAGAAACGGUCCAGACGCCUACGGGAGGCAGCAGUGGGGAAUAUUGAAAAAUGGGAGAAAGCCUGAUGCAGCCAUGCCGCGUGUAUGAAGAAGGCCUUCGGGUUGUAAAGUACUUUAAGCGGGGAGGCGUUACCCGCAGAAGAAGCACCGGCUAACUCCGUGCCAGCAGCCGCGGUAAUUC
rnacentral:rRNA from 1 species